AUUAUAGAACUUUUUAUGCUAGAACUAGUAACAAGAGGUAAAACCUCUCUAUAAUGCAAGUAUAAGCCAGCAAGAAUCCGUCACUGUCAACUAACAGACCUAAACAAAAGUAGCAACCUACCCAGAAAACCCUACCUACCUUAACUGUUAACCUAAUACUAGAGCAUUUCAAGAAAGAUUAAAAGAAAGAGAAGGAACUCGGCAAAUAUUAGCCCCGCCUGUUUACCAAAAACAUCGCCUCUUGCUAUUAUAAGAGGUCUAGCCUGCCCAGUGACUUCUGUUCAACGGCCGCGGUAUCCUAACCGUGCGAAGGUAGCGUAAUCACUUGUCUUCUAAAUAGAGACCAGUAUGAAAGGCAUCACGAGGGCUAAACUGUCUCCUCCCCCUAAUCAGUGAACCUAAUCCCCCCGUGAAGAAGCGGGGAUUUUUUUAUAAGACGAGAAGACCCUAUGGAGCUUAAAACAUCACACACCUGCUGCUAUUUUUUAUUUACCCAGGUAUUUCCCCCCCCCCGGCAGGCUGAUUAAAUGUUUUUGGUUGGGGUGACCGUGGAGAAAAAUUUAUCCUCCACAAUGAAAGGAAUUACUCCUAAACAGCAAGCUACAACUUUAUGUAUCAGCAAACUGACAUCCAUUGACCCAAUAUAUUGAUUAACGAACCAAGUUACCCUAGGGAUAACAGCGCAAUCCACUUUGAGAGCCCCUAUCGACA
rnacentral:rRNA from 1 species